GACAGAGGGUGCAACCGUUGUUCGGAAUUACUGGGCGUAAAGCGUGCGCAGGCGGUUCGCUAAGACCGAUGUGAAAUCCCCGGGCUUAACCUGGGAACUGCAUUUGUGACUGCAUGGCUAGAGUUUGUCAGAGGGGGGUGGAAUUCCACGUGUAGCAGUGAAAUGCGUAGAUAUGUGGAGGAACACCGAUGGCGAAGGCAGCCCCCUGGGAUGUGACUGACGCUCAUGUACGAAAGCGUGGGGAGCAAACAGG
rnacentral:rRNA from 1 species